UUCAAAAUUUAUUGCUGUACAAUUUCGCAUAGCAUUGACUAUGGAAAUACUAAUAGUGCAAAUAUUUAUUUGGGACUUUGUAGCAUUGGAGAGAUCACAAAGCUUUUUGAUAUCUUUUGCCAUCAUUUAUGAAGAUCUAUUCAACUUAUUUUUAAAAUUCAAACAAGUAAUCCUAUAUUCAAAGAGAUUACACAAUGCUUUCCAGAUCUCCUCUCUAGAACAAAAGAGUACUGUGGAAGCCACCAGGGGCAUUCCUUUCCUUGAUAAUACAUACAUCUUGCAACAGUUUUCCAACUGCAAGACUCUUUGUUCAUCCACAGAUUCAUUCAACAAAUAUUUACUGACAAACUGUUAUGUGCCAGGCACUGUGCUAGGCUCCGGGGACAUCAGGAUGAAAAAAAUGCAAUCUUUGCUUUCACGGUGCUUACAGUCUAAAAGUAGAAACAGACAUGCAAAAAAAAUUUUACAAUACAAUACAGUAAAGUGCUUCCAUGGAGGUAUUUACAAAGUGCAGUGGGAACUCGGAAGAGGGAAAAAGAACAACAGCCUGGAGAAAUCAGGGACAGCUUCACAGAGGAGGUAGCCAUUGAGCUGAGACUUGACCAGUGAUGAGGAAUUUGCCAUGUCGACAGUCAGGCAAAGGGAAUGACAGGUGCAAAGACACAGAGGCCCAAGGGGCACUUUGAAGGAGCAGGUAAUGCGGCUUUUCUUGAGCCGAAGGUGCAAUGGGAGAGUGGCAGGAUGAGCCAGACAAAGAGGCAGGAGUCAGACCAUGAAGGGCCUUCUCAUCAUUCUUCCACCUACUCAACAGACAUCUAUUGAGUGCUUCCUAAGUGCCAGGCACUAGGGCUUAUAACAGGGACCCAGACGGACACAUCCUUGCUCUCAAGGAGCUUACAUUCUAGCAGAGAGAUAGACAAAAAGUCCACAAAUAAAUAAAAUACAGAUUUAGAAGAUUUCUACAAAGGAAAUAAACAGGGUGCUGAGGCAGAAAAUAAAGUAUUAUAGGGGUGGAGGGUAGUUAGGGUCUCAGCAAAUGCCUCUUGGAAGUGACAUCAAAGUGACACCUGCAGGGACAAUAACAACAGCACACUCACUCUGUGCCAGGCACUGUGCUAAACACUUGAUAAACAGUCUCUUGUUUCAUCCUCACAACGGCUCCAUGAGGUAGGUAUUAUUAUUCCUAUUUCACUGAGGAGGAACAGGCUCAAAGGGACUACGUAACCUGACAAGUCACACAAAUGGCAAAACUAGGGUUCAAACACAGCUUCUCCUCAUUUCAAAGUGCUCGCUCUUAAAAAUUAUUCUAAACUGCAUACACAGAGAAGUGAGGAAUUUUGAGCAGGGAGAUAAUACAGUCACAUUUGCUUUGAGGACCAUUCUGAUGACUAUAUGGAGGAGAAAAAGGAGGGAUGGAGACGGAUGAACAGAAAGGGGAGAGGCAAAAAACAAACAAGGAAGCCAUUGAAAGUCGGAGGAGAGGGAAGGAGAAGGUGGCACGAAGGCAGCACUGCAGGAAUAGAGGAGAGACAGAUGUGAGAAGUGUGGUUAGCAGUUCUGACAGGAUUGAUGGCAUGUUGGAGGCAGGGGAAAGAGUGGCAUCUGAGAUCACUCCUGGGCUUCUGCCUUGAGCAACCGGAUCAAAUGAUUUGCUUUUACCCAAAUCAGGGAAUGCAAGAUGAUGGUAGGUUUGAGGAUAAGAUGAUGAAUUUAAUUUUGGACAUGUCAUCCUGUGGGUAUAUUGGGAACAUCUGGACUUAUGGGAUGGUCCCAGUUGGACACCACGUAAUGGCUUUCAUACCUUGUUCUCUACCUGAGAAAAAUAUAUAAGAACAAAAAUCAAAGUUUUGCAUGUGUGUAUCUUGUGUUUUUGCUUUUACAAAAGCUGUUUAUAAAAGCUUGGAUAUCUUGGUUGGAUUGCUUUGCAAAAAGAACAUGGAUCACCAAGGUGAAGUUACCCCAAGCCUGAUUACAGGUCAAGAAUCAUGGACUUAGGGGAGUCUAAGAAAAGCUUUUGGAUAUCCAUCCUAACUAGUCAUACCAGUUCUUAAAAAGAAAUCAAUAUUAACUUCCUGCUACCACCCGAGCUGGGACAGUGUGACGGACCCAGAGCAAGACCCUCUGCCAACCGUCUUCCCAGAGUCUGUAAGUAUCCCUGCUUGUUGCCAGCAGGUCUGCUCUGAGGAAAUUGGUGGCCUAAGUCCCAGAGAUCCAAGUUGAAUGUAAGUCAGGAAUCCCAAGAAGGAGUUAUGUGUGUAAACUGGCAUAAGGUCCAGAGAGAGACAGCCGCCCAGACCCAGCCAGUUAAACAUUGCUUAGACUACUUUCUCUUCUUUGCCAUCCUCGGUAACUGGAAGGGUGCUGGAGGCAGUGGUAAUUCAAUGUACAGGUGACACUUAUCUGGAAUUGGUCACAUCCUUUACCACAUCAUUCUGCGUCUAAUUUUAAAAGAACUCAGAGUUAAGAAGCAGCAUAUAAACCCUUCCUAUAGAAAGAUAUUUUUGCUCUGUUUCUCAUAAUGUGCUUAAAUUUGCUUAUAACCACUCCCUCCUUUCCUUGGCAUCAGAUUAACUUAAGUAUGUUUCAAUUUUAAUAACGCUAUGCAGUUUUAGUAAAUUAGAUAUCGAAGAAUUUAAGUGGUAAUGAAGUUAUGCUCGAGAGUUUUAACGGAAAAAAAAUGUUAAUACUUUGGAGGCUGGGUACUGACUAGUGAAGUUCGUUAAGCAACUCUGCUUAGAAAGCUGCCUCUCUGUGGCAAAGGGUCUGACCUGCACCUGUUAACCUAGUAAGCUAGUGGACAUUAGAAAAUGCAAAAUGAUCUAGAAAAAAACCACAAACAGACUUCUAGUAACAUCCAAAGGUUAUUUGUGUACAUAAUUCACAGCCAAGGGAAGAAAAUGCCUUAUUUUUAUAGAAAUAACAAAAGUACUAGUCACAGGCAAAGAAAAGAAAUUACCUAUGCUAGAUGACAACUUAGAAUUCUGGUGAAAGCAGCACAAUUCUCGCAAUAUCUGGAGGCAUGCUGCAAAUGCAUGAACUAUUUCCUACCACCUCCAUUUCAAACCUAAGGCCCAGGGACCACAGUUGAAUGUAAUCAGGAAUCCUAAGGAGGGGCUAUUUAUGGUGUGUGCUCUUUAACAGAAAGAAUUCCAAUGAGUCUGUGAAUAUAAUCAUUUAUUUGUCUUUACAGUGAUGAUGGAAGAAUGUACAGGUGUCCUCUUUCAAUAAAGUAUAAAAAUCUGUUUAUAUACAGUGAAGUCACAAUAAUCUUUAAUUGGGAAAUUUAUUUGGUACUCCUGAUCUGCUCAUAUGAAAACUGGGGGGGAAACAAAUAUUUUAUGUAAGUGCUACAUUUCCAGUAGAUUGCACCUGGCAUCAAAAGCUCAGCUUCCUCUUAAGGGUCCUUCUUGAUAUUACAAAAGACUCUUUUUAAGUCCUAGGACUCAAAAUAAACAUCAUAUUUUGAAUAAUAGAUAUAUACAUCAAAAAUACAUCUAAAAAGGCAUUGGUUAGUGCUAUUAAAAAGCUCUAUGUGCUCGGGUACAUUUUUUUCUUACAGGCAAAACCCAGUGGAAACGUGUUUGUUCAAUUCUAGGAAUUUGCUCUUGGGGGACGUCGAUCGAAAGUUACCUGUAAAGAAAGACAAACAAAUUUAAGUGAUUCAAUGAUUUCUCAGGCGAGAGGCCAGCAAAACUUGAAAAAGUGAUUAGGGGCUAAAUCUCAGUUAGACUCGCAUUUUUAAAGCCUUGAUUAGCAUUCAGUUACAGCACUUUGUACACAAAAAGUGCUCAGCAUAUCCUCCCAGUGUUUCAAGUGUUUUAUUUUGAUAAUCGGUAAGCCUCAUGCCAUUCAAGAACUCAUGUGCAUCCCUUUGGAUGCUUAUGCAAACAUUUUCUAUCUAUAAGUAACGAAAUCAGCAUAAAAAGAGAAAUCGUAGGGCAUACGAAUGAAAAAAUAUAAUAGACACAGCCAAAUCCAAACACUUUUGAGAGAAUUUAAGAAAAUUUCCAACAAUGAUGUAUUUUAAUUCACA
ensembl:lncRNA